UGGGGAAUAUUGCACAAUGGGCGCAAGCCUGAUGCAGCCAUGCCGCGUGAGGGAAGAAGGCCUUCGGGUUGUAAAGUACUUUCAGCGGGGAGGAAGGGAGUAAAGUUAAUACCUUUGCUCAUUGACGUUACCCGCAGAAGAAGCACCGGCUAACUCCGUG
rnacentral:rRNA from 1 species